rnacentral:misc_RNA from 1 species
GCAAACUUGGUCAUUUAGAGGAAGUAAAAGUCGUAACAAGGUUUCCGUAGGUGAACCUGCGGAAGGAUCAUUAGCAAUUUGCAGCCCCUAGGGCUGUUGGGUCACGUCGGUAUGUCUAGGUCUCGCCGGAAACGGGGAGAUGAGGCCUGCUGGCGGUGCCUGGAGCAAUCCGGGCUUUGGACUGACGCUAACACCCGUGUCUACUAUCUUUGUUGCUUUGGCGGGCCGCUUCGGCGCGGCUCCGGCCGUCAGUGCCCGCCAGAGGACCCUAAACUCUUGUGUUUAGUAUUGUCUGAGUAAAAAAUAAUAGUUAAAACUUUCAACAACGGAUCUCUUGGUUCUGGCAUCGAUGAAGAACGCAGC